rnacentral:tRNA from 1 species
GAAAAAUUAGUUAAUUUAUAACAUUAAUUUGUCAAGUUAAAGUAAUUUAAAUAAAUAUUUUUUA